rnacentral:rRNA from 1 species
UACGUAGGGUGCGAGCGUUAAUCGGAAUUACUGGGCGUAAAGCGUGUGUAGGCGGACCGUUAAGUACCUUGUGAAAUCCCCCGGCUCAACCGGGGAACGGCUGGGUAUACUGGCGGUCUUGAGCCAUCCAGGGGCAGUCGGAACAGACGGUGGAGCGGUGAAAUGCGUAGAUAUCGUCUGGAACGCCGAAGGUGAAAACAGACUGCUGGGGAUGCGCUGACGCUGAGACACGAAAGCCAGGGGAGCGAACGGG